rnacentral:rRNA from 1 species
AACGUAGGUUCCGAGCGUUAUCCGGAUUUACUGGGCGUAAAGCGCGUUCAGGCGGUUUGGCAAGUCGGGCAUGAAAUCCUUCGGCUCAACCGGGGGAGGUUGUCCGAUACUGCUGAACUGGAGGGCAGUAGAGGGUGGUGGAAUUCCGGGUGUAGUGGUGAAAUGCGUAGAGAUCCGGAGGAACACCAGUGGCGAAAGCGGCCACCUGGACUGUACCUGACGCUGAAACGCGAAAGCUAGGGGAGCGAACGGG